UUAAGCCAAAGAGCCACAUCGCCAGCCGAAAAGGCUUCAGUCUCUCUCACAAGCCAGGAGAUCACGCAGCCUUCUGGGACAGAAGCCUAGCAUAUUCCCUGAGGAACUAGACAGCCUGAAUGAAUUACAGACCAGGCAUUACUGCAAGCAUGUAACAUUGCAUUACAGGAAGCGAGGGAGUCAGCAUAACAUAUCAUUGCAAGCGUACAUUACAAGUCGCUGUGUGCUGUUCUGUCUGCUCACAGAGAAUCUAGACCAGUGGUAGAAAAUGUUACCAAAGCUGGCAUGCAAAACUACCAGAGGCAGGCCGCACUGUGACAGACUAAAGGGAAGUAUCCAAAGGAAUAUAUAUAUAUUACAUCUUCAGACCAACCCACCAAGUGCCAGCUGCCUGGGUGCAAAGAUACAAUACCAAAUAAACUUUUUCAGAUGGUUUGCGAAAGUCCUGUGGCAAGAGUCCACAGCUGCAUUUCUUACUUUUGGGAAAUAAGAACCUAGCCACCAGGAGGAGGCAAAGACACCCCAGCCAAAGGCUUAAAUACUCCUCCCACUCCCCUCAUCCCCCAGUCAUUCUGCAGAGGAACAAGGAACAGUAGAAGAAAUACCAGGGUGAAAAGGUGCCAGGAGAAUAAAAAAACAGACUUCCCACAUAAAAAAUAUGGGUGGGGAGCUGUGGACUCUUUCAUCUGAAGAAAAAAAUUAUCAGGUAAGCAUAAUUUGUUUUUCUUCAUAAAUGGAAAAAGUCCAUAGCUGCAUUCAUUACUUUUCGGAAAACAAUACCCAAGCUAAAGAGGACACUGAAUGCCAAGACGGGAGGGUACAAGAGGCGGCCCAUUCUGAGGGCACCAGGCCUGAAACCACUACCCAACAAAAUCCUGCUUCGUCCGAAGCCGAGAACAUUGAAAGGCAAAAAAACAAAACAAGGACUCUAGUCCUAUAGUUUGGAAGCCCAGCUAGAGACCGCAAAAUCAGACUAAAACGAGCCAACAGUCCUCCAGGAGACACCGCCGCCCAGCGGUCAGCCCCCAACCACACACCCCUUACUAGCAAAGGGAACACCAGGCCAAAACUCCCAAAGGGACAGGGCAAGAAAAAAAUCAAAGAAAAUUGAAAGGACACCACAUAAUUCCAUAAAGGAAGACCCCUAAAACGAGCCCAGCUCAUAAAGACCCAAAUGGGUCCAAAACAGAUAAGGGGAGGCAACGCCCAGACCAACAUAACACAAGGUCUAGGACCAAGCAUCCGAACAGCGAUUCCUACUCUCAACGUCCAGUGGAAGCACCGAAACAACAUUAUCCUCAAGUCAUCAGUAGUUAGAACCACUAACACACAUAUGCACAUGCUAUAAUCAAUCAACACUAUUGGUAUACCUAACAAUUUGUUAGUCAUUUAAUAAAAUUUAGUGCAAAGAUAUAGUGUUUGAAUCAUUAAAUAUACUAAUAUAUGUGACUCAACAUUAAGGUAAUAUAUGUACUUUAUAUCGCAUAUUAAGUUUAGGCUAUCUUGCUGCAACUGUUUUUAAAUUGAUUGUAGCCCAAUUUUAAAGGUCAUAAUAAAGUUUAAUUUUAAAACUCUCA